rnacentral:rRNA from 1 species
UGGCGGCAGGCCUAACACAUGCAAGUCGAGCGCAGUCCUUCGGGACCGAGCGGCGGACGGGUUAGUAACGCGUGGGAACAUACCCUUUUCUACGGAAUAGCCUCGGGAAACUGAGAGUAAUACCGUAUAAGCCCUUCGGGGGAAAGAUUUAUCGGGAAAGGAUUGGCCCGCGUUAGAUUAGAUAGUUGGUGGGGUAAUGGCCUACCAAGUCUACGAUCUAUAGCUGGUUUUAGAGGAUGAUCAGCAACACUGGGACUGAGACACGGCCCAGACUCCUACGGGAGGCAGCAGUGGGGAAUCUUAGACAAUGGGCGCAAGCCUGAUCUAGCCAUGCCGCGUGUGUGAUGAAGGUCUUAGGAUCGUAAAGCACUUUCGCCAGGGAUGAUAAUGACAGUACCUGGUAAAGAAACCCCGGCUAACUCCGUGCCAGCAGCCGCGGUAAUACGGAGGGGGUUAGCGUUGUUCGGAAUUACUGGGCGUAAAGCGUACGUAGGCGGAUCAGAAAGUUAGGGGUGAAAUCCCGAGGCUCAACCUCGGAACUGCCUCUAAAACUCCUGGUCUUGAGUUCGAGAGAGGUGAGUGGAAUUCCAAGUGUAGAGGUGAAAUUCGUAGAUAUUUGGAGGAACACCAGUGGCGAAGGCGGCUCACUGGCUCGAUACUGACGCUGAGGUACGAAAGUGUGGGGAGCAAACAGGAUUAGAUACCCUGGUAGUCCACACCGUAAACGAUGAAUGCCAGUCGUCGGGCAGUAUACUGUUCGGUGACACACCUAACGGAUUAAGCAUCC